CUCAAACCCACGGACCGUGAGAUCAUGACCUGAGCUGAAAUCGGACGUUUAACUGACAGAAGCCACCCAGGCACCCCAGACCGUUAUCUUUCCUUUUCCCUGCUUCCCCAUCACCUUCCCGGAACCCAGAGAUGCCCUGUUAGCCCUCCUCUCCCAGUCCAAAGAGCGGGUCUGCAGUUCCAGAAGGGCCUUGAACAAGAAGCAUCCCAGCCAGGACUUCAAAUCUGCAUAAUUUAUCCACACACAGAGCCACUUCUGCAACCCAAGAUGCCACUCCUGAACGGCUGCCCAGAGAGCUCACGCUGCCAAAUCUUCCAGAAGACUCCUCAUCACAGACCCACAGAGAGCAGGAGGAUGCCCUGUGGCCGUAACCCUCAGCGUUCCUUCAUCCAGUCAGCCUGCUGCGAUCCAGCGCUCAUGACGGCUCGCAGAGGGCACAGGGGGUCCCUGAGGCAGCCUGGCGGCCCCUACUCAAGGGGCUUGUCAACUGGAUGAGACGCACACAGACAAGACACUGGAAAGCUAUGAAAUGACACAGCAUAUGUCAAGGAUGGGGAGGAAGGAGAUGGGCGGGGUGGGGGGGGGGGGGGCGAAGGGAGAACUGCCAAGACCAGGGACUGGUCACAGCAGGGACAGUGGUCCUGGGGCCAGUGAGCAGAGCAGCCCCGUGGCGAUAGCGGUUAUCCGAAGUGACAUUAUGGGACAGAUGGCUAAGAAUGUGCGUCAGAACCGAGAAGGUCGUCAGCACUGAGGGCAUCUACUAUCUGUCCUACUGGUGUCCUAUCUGUCACUCUUCCUGUUACCUAUUGCCGCAUAACAAAUCACCCACGAACUUCAGGACUGAAAGCUGAAUGGGCUCAAGUGGGUGGUUCUCACGCUGGAUCUCUCGCGAGGUGACAGACACACGGUGGUGGCUGGACUGCAUCAUCUGGAAGGUUUCCUCCCACACCUGCGGGGGCGGGGAGGGGCGUCAGCUGGGACUGUUGUCCGGACCCCCUAUGCGCGGCCUCUCUGUGUGGCUCCGAGACUUGGAGAAGAGGUAUGUCCAGAGAAAAGAAGUUCUUCACACGGUAUCACCGGCCCCGCCCCACGGGCCUCCCUCUCCGGGCGGAAGGAACCCAGACCCCGGCUCUCAGCGGACGGAGUGUCGACAUCGCAUUGCCACGGCGCCUGCGGGAUGCGAGAUCUCACAGCCAUCGUGGGAAAUACCGAGUGCCGACCGCUAAAGGCUCCCCGGGCAAGAGAGUGACACAGAGGGGUGGAUGGCAGCACAUCUCAAGGUGGGAGGGAGAGUCAAGAGUAGAAGCCGAGGGGUUUUUGAUCUGAGCACUUCCUGCUGUUUUCCCAAACCGAAUGCAGAAAGUACAUGGCCAGGGCAGCCAUCCCCAAGUUUGGACCGAGCUUCAGAACCCUUACUAACACAGCCGGCCGGGCAGCCCUGACUAAUCCAUCCGGGCGCACAUCGCAAGACAAAACCUAUUCGCCCUUUCUCUUCUGAGAAGUCGCAUGAAAGGGCUUGGAGGAAUCUGGGGCUCCCAGCUCCACCGGGGACUUAAACGGAAUCUCGGGGUUUGAUCCAGUCCCUGGUAGUCCCCCCAGAAGGAAGAUUCACAAGGAAGGGGGUUCCAUGGUGUGCCAGCUGGGGCUAGAUCAGAAAUGAAACCGGGGAGGGAACAGUCAACUCUCUGUGCCCCGCCUCUUCACCGACCCAGGAGCGACAUUGCCCUGCUCGGACUGGCCAGCGCUGACCAAGACCCAGUGGGGCGACAUCCUCCCCAACAACUAUGCCUGCCACAUCACGGACUGGAGAAGGCUGCAGGGAAAGGACCACUAGGUUCAGACUAACAACAUCACUGGGCGACACAUUCUGGGUCGUAAAGCAACGACGAGCUAGGAUUUCUACAACUCCGAGAGCGGCAGCCUUUCCACCUUCCCAUUACCGGAACUCUCAGCAACCCUCUCGGCGCGGCCUCGCUGACCCCAGCCGGGACGUGAAGUCUGCGGGCGGCGCUGGAAGCGGGGCGCACCUGGAUGUCCUCGAUCAUCACGGGCGUGA